rnacentral:misc_RNA from 1 species
UACGAAGGGGGCUAGCGGUGGUCGGAAUUACUGGGCGUAAAGCGCACGUAGGCGGACAUUUAAGUCAGGGGGGAAAUCCCGGAGCUCAACUCCGGAACUGCCUUUGAGACUGGGUGUCUUGAGUAUGGAAGAGGUGAGUGGAAUUCCGAGGGUAGAGGUGAAAUUCGUAGAUAUUCGGAGGAACACCAGUGGCGAAGGCGGCUCACUGGUCCAUAACUGACGCUGAGGGGCGAAAGCGUGGGGAGCAAACAGG